GGGGAUGUAUUUUAGUGGUAGAAUAUUUGCUUUGCACGCGAAAGACGCGAGUUCGAUUCUCGCCAUCUCCA
rnacentral:tRNA from 1 species